CAAAGAUGGUACUGUUUUAAGGAGG
rnacentral:piRNA from 1 species